rnacentral:misc_RNA from 1 species
GAUGAAGAACGUAGCGAAAUGCGAUAAGUAGUGUGAAUUGCAGAAUUCAGUGAAUCAUCGAAUCUUUGAACGCACAUUGCGCCCCUUGGUAUUCCAUGGGGCAUGCCUGUUCGAGCGUCAUUUGUACCUUCAAGCUUUGCUUGGUGUUGGGUGUUUGUCCCGAGGGACUCGCCUUAAAGUAAUUGGCAGCCAGUGUUUGGUUUUGAAGCGCAGCACAAGUCGCGAUUCAAGGCUACACGCCCGCUUCCACAAGCCUUUUUUCACUUUUGACCUCGGAUCAGGUAGGGAUACCCGCUGAACUUAAGCAUAUCAAUAAGCGAGGA